GCUACCUGGAAGAACAGAGAACAAAGAAUCGAGCACCAAAUGUGGAGACCCCCCGCAGUAGUGAAGUCAUUUGGGUGAACUUUGGAUUUGAACUGACAACCUUCUAAUUGCUAACAUGGCAGCCUAACCUGCUAAGCCACUAUCCCUCCAGCCAAGUGCUGUUUUAACAUUAAUAGAUGAUAUACUUAUUUCAGCCAGGAGAAAUUCAUGAAAGGCACCAAUGGGAUUUGGACCCCGGAUCUCCAGUUUACAAGACAGGCGUUUUAACCAUCUAAGUCACAGUGCCAUUCCAGCUUAAAGUAUGAAGUAAUACAGCUUAAUGUUAUUUUAUGAUAAUUGGACAUAAAAUGUUGUUGGAAACUGGUUUCCUCGGAUAUUCCAGAGAAAUGCAGUUAGACUAACUGGUGUCUCUCCAUUGCCUGUGGUGUGUGAUUAUGAGCAUGUGCAUGCAUGUCCAUUGUGAUGAAUGUAAUCUGUUAAUUGGAAAUGGUUCCUGCAUUUAAUGCAAUUGUCCUGUAAUGAAUCCUUUGAUUUUGUUAAAAUUGACCAGUCCGCUUCAGUUACUGAUAUUGAGAAGAUCCUUGAAACUCCGGAAGGGAAGUGAGGUAUCUGGUCUCGCCUGAAUAUCUGGGGAUGGGCGAGGAGCACUUGGCACUGACUUGAUUUCCAUCAUUUCCAUUUCAUGGGAAAGUCACCGGGAGCCCAACUUAUGGUUUCAGAUGCUUUGUCUAUAUAACAAUGAUGUUCUUCUUCUUGGGGCAGCACAAUAUGACAGCGGCAAAUCAGUGAAAGCGAAUCUGAGGAAUUUAGAAAUUCGAACUGCAUUCUCAGAAGCUCAGUUGGAAACUCUCUCAUCAUAUUUAGCACUGUUUUGUGCGUUAUGUCCUUUUUUGAAGCGCGACUGCAAAUGUUGUGCAUGAGGCUGAAAUACAAGAACAUGAAACCUCUAAAAGCCUAAUAAAAGUGCAGCUCAUUCCAGAUAACCAAGACCUCGAACCCAGAAACAAGAUGCUAGUUAACCAAAGUCGCAUACCGGGAAACUCAACGCCAGCUAACCAAAACCACAAACCCGGAACCAAGACCUCAGAGAAAGACCAAAUAUGGCGGACUACUCCUCUUCUUCAUCAUCAUCACAAUCAUCAAGAAAAUGCAGCCAUUCUGGACCGUCGGCAUCAGUGAUGUCUUCUUUCUCUGAAAAGUCCCUUGUAUUAGAAAUCCCCUCCUCUAGGUCACUGUCACCUUUCAGAUCCAGAGAUAACGACUCGCAGGCUGUUAUCUUUAGGUCUGUUCGCCGUGCACGGAUGCACCAAUGGCUAAGAGAAAUCUGAGUAAGAAGAUAUUUAGAGAAGAGCAAUUAAAACAGAUAAUAAAUUCACCAACAGCAACGAUGCAUCAAGGAUAUUUGUUUAUUUUGGAUCUUUGAAAGUUCCUACACACAUUAAAGGCCAUAUUACAGAAUAACCCGCAGAAUCGUCUUUGUAUAUAAAAUCUGCACAGAUAUUCAAAAACAUUUCCAAGUCCAAACACCGUCUGAGUUCAUGGCCUCAAUGGCAGAAAAGUUGUAAAAUUUUACUGAAAAACAAAGAGAUUAAUGCUGUCAUGUUAAACAUUUCGAAUGGGUCAAACUGACCUGCAACUUAAUAGGAGGGUUGAAAUAAACUGACGUAAACACAAGCGUCCUCAGAUUUUUCCCGAAAUGCCGUCUAAUUUCUAAUAUAUCAGUUUUAUUUCUUUGGCAUGGUGACACAGAGGAUGCUUGGGAUUCGUGACUCAUCUGAGAAAGAUUUGUGGUAGGAUGUGCAAACACCAGUUGUGGAAAGACUGAAAUCCCUUUCAGAAUGUAAACAGAUUAAUUUUAUUCGAUAAAUACAGAUGUCUAUGGAUGUCAACAGAUGUCUGUAUUCCUUCCCGGCAACAUUUCUUUGUUUUUAGUUUAUUCUGUUAUUAUAAUGUUUUGAAUCCAUGAUGUUUCCAUUAAAAACGACUUCUUUAAAAUGAUGACUUCAAAA